rnacentral:misc_RNA from 1 species
AAUGGUAAGUUUGCUUGAGGAUCCUUGGCUUUGAUUUCUAUUUUGUAUGCCUUUAGUUGAUGGGAUUGUAAAAUCAUCGACUAAUAGAUUAGGCAGCAUAGCCGCCUUUAUGCACAAAUAAAAAUAGAGAAGUUUGGCAGUUUAAGUUUGGUGUAUUUGUCAGUCAAUGGGUCUCAAUGACUAUCUACCUAAGCAUUCUACAGUAAACAAUUAAAAAUGUUUGUGCAUUUGGCAGGUUUCUUGAAG